GUAGGUGGCAAGCGUUGUCCGGAGUUAUUGGGCGUAAAGCGCGCGCAGGCGGUUUUUUAAGUCUGAUGUGAAAGCCCACGGCUCAACCGUGGAGGGUCAUUGGAAACUGGAGAACUUGAGUACAGAAGAGGAAAGCGGAAUUCCACGUGUAGCGGUGAAAUGCGUAGAGAUGUGGAGGAACACCAGUGGCGAAGGCGGCUUUCUGGUCUGUAACUGACGCUGAGGCGCGAAAGCGUGGGGAGCAAACAGGGAUUAGAUACCCUGGUAGUCCACGCCGUAAACGAUGAGUGCUAAGUGUUAGGGGGGUUUCCGCCCCCUUAGUGCUGCAGCUAACGCAUUAAGCACUCCGCCUGGGGAGUACGGCCGCAAGGCUG
rnacentral:rRNA from 1 species